UCCUUCCCGUUUGUCUCCUGGAUCUGUGUUUGCCCACACAAGGGAGUACUUAAGAAGCAUUGGCAGGCUUCUGGGAAGCAGUUUGUCCUUGCUUUGAGCUAUGAAAUCGUCUGUCUCAUGAAUAUGCAAAUAACCUGAGAUGCACUGAGGUAAAUAUGGAUGUGUCUGUGCCCUAAGCGCAUCAUCCAACAACCACAUGCCUCUUCUGCAGAAUCUCCUUAGAGCUCAGUGCCUCACCGUGGACUGGACCUGGAGGAACAUCUUGGUGGCAGCAGCUACAGGUGCGCACUCUCAGGACCAGUUGGUGCAGUCUGGGGCUGAGGUGAAGAAGCCUCUGUCCUCAGUGAAGGUCUCCUUCAAGGCUUCUGGAUACACCUUCACCAACAACUUUAUGCACUGGGUGUGACAGGCCCCUGGACAAGGACUUGAGUGGAUGGGAUGGAUCAAUGCUGGCAAUGGUAACACAACAUAUGCACAGAAGUUCCAGGGCAGAGUCACCAUAACCAGGGACACGUCCAUGAGCACAGCCUACACGGAGCUGAGCAGCCUGAGAUCUGAGGACAUGGCCGUGUAUUACUGUGCGAGAGACACAGAGUGAAAACCCACAUCCUGAGAGUGUCAGAAACCCCAGGGAGGAGGCAGCUGUGCUGGCAUGGAGGAGAUGACAAAGAUUAUUAGAUUGAAGACUUUCUCAGAAAAUAACAUUAAGUCACUAAAGAAAAGGAACAAUAUAAAUGUGUAUUUGAGAAAUUUUAAUUAUUUGAAAGAUUUUUCAUACAACAUUUAUUCUGUAAGCAAAUUUCAGGGAUUGAAUUAAUAAAACUGAUACAGAA
rnacentral:lncRNA from 1 species